rnacentral:rRNA from 1 species
CCUACGGGAGGCAGCAGUGAGGAAUAUUGGUCAAUGGACGCAAGUCUGAACCAGCCAUGCCGCGUGCAGGAAGACGGCUCUAUGAGUUGUAACCUGCUUUUGUACGAGGGUAAACGCAGAUACGCGUAUCUGUCUGAAAGUAUCGUACGAAUAAGGAUCGGCUAACUCCGUGCCAGCAGCCGCGGGAAUACGGAGGAUUCAAGCGUUAUCCGGAUUUAUUGGGUGUAAAGGGUGCGUAGGCGGUCGGAUAAGUUAGAGGUGAAAUCCCGUGGCUCAACUUCGGAAUUGCCUCUGAUACUGUUCGGCUAGAGAGUAGUAGCGGUAGGCGGAAUGUAUGGUGUAGCGGUGAAAUGCUUAGAGAUCAUACAGAACACCGAUUGCGAAGGCAGCUUACCAAGCUACUUCUGACGUUGAGGCACGAAAGCGUGGGGAGCAAACAGGAUUAGAUACCUGAGUAGUC